rnacentral:tRNA from 1 species
GCGCCGGCCUGGUUCCGGGAGCCGGAGCCGCCCGCGCUGCUGCCGGUGGUCGCGGAGGCGGUGUGGGACGACCGCCGGGUCGCCGCCCGGUACCGGCGCG